rnacentral:rRNA from 1 species
CCGCUGGCGGCGUGCCUUACACAUGCAAGUCGAACGAACCUUCGCGGUUAGUGGCGGACGGGUGAGUAACGCGAUCUGCCCUCAGGAGGGGGACAACAGUUGGAAACGACUGCUAAUACCCCAUAUGCCGCGAGGUGAAAUGAAUUUCGCCUGAGGAUGAGCUCGCGUCUGAUUAGCUAGUUGGUGUACAGUAAUGGCUCACCAAGGCAUCGAUCAGUAGCUGGUCUGAGAGGAUGAUCAGCCACACUGGGACUGAGACACGGCCCAGACUCCUACGGGAGGCAGCAGUGGGGAAUUUUCCGCAAUGGGCGAAAGCCUGACGGAGCAACGCCGCGAUGAGGGAUGAAGGCCUCUGGGCUGUAAACCUCUUUUAUCAAGGAAGAAGAUCUGACGGUACUUGAUGAAUAAGCCACGGCUAAUUCCGUGCCAGACAGCCGCGGUAAUACGGGAGUGGCAAGACGUUAUCCGGAAUUAUUAGGGCGUAAAGCGUCCGCAGGCGGCCCUUCAAAGUCUGACUGUUAAAAAAGUGGAGCUUAACUCCAUCAUGGCAGCUG